rnacentral:misc_RNA from 1 species
AGAAGUUGUUGUAUCCUAAAUCUAGCACCUCCAGUUCUUCAAGUCCUCCAAAUCCUUGAGGGAUGGUUCCAGUAAAAGAAUUGUUUCGCAAAUUAAUUGAUUUUAUAUGGACUAAGUUCUUGAGCUCAGGAGCAAGUGUUCCUUCAAGACAAAGAUCUUUCAAAUUCAGGGCUAUAACUUUCCCAUCUGAGCAUUCAACUCCUAACCAGAAGCAUGGAUUAAUAUCCUCUUUGUGAUCAUCCCAAUUUGACAAAGCACCAAA